rnacentral:rRNA from 1 species
GACGAACGCUGGCGGCGUGCUUAACACAUGCAAGUCGAACGGAAAGGCCCUGCUUUUGUGGGGUGCUCGAGUGGCGAACGGGUGAGUAACACGUGAGUAACCUGCCCUUGACUUUGGGAUAACUUCAGGAAACUGGGGCUAAUACCGGAUAGGAGUUCCUGCUGCAUGGUGGGGGUUGGAAAGUUUCGGCGGUUGGGGAUGGACUCGCGGCUUAUCAGCUUGUUGGUGGGGUAGUGGCUUACCAAGGCUUUGACGGGUAGCCGGCCUGAGAGGGUGACCGGCCACAUUGGGACUGAGAUACGGCCCAGACUCCUACGGGAGGCAGCAGUGGGGAAUAUUACACAAUGGGCGGAAGCCUGAUGCAGCAACGCCGCGUGCGGGAUGACGGCCUUCGGGUUGUGAACCGCUUUCGCCUGUGACGAAGCGUGAGUGACGGUAAUGGGUAAAGAAGCACCGGCUAACUACGUG